rnacentral:rRNA from 1 species
GCUGUUCACCUUAAGAAGGACCCGCGGCGCAUUAGCUAGUCGGUGAGGUAAACGGCUUCACCAAGGCGACCAACGCGUUAACCACCUGAGAGGGUGAAUCGGCCACACUUGGGACUUGAAACACGGCCCAAAUUCCUUACUGGAGGCAGCAGUAGGGAAUCUUUCCUCAAUUGGACGAAAAGUCUUGACGGAACAACGCCGCGUUGAGUUGAUGAAAGUUUUUCGGAUCGUAAAGCUCUGUUGUUAGGGAAGAACAAGUGCAAGAGUUAACUGCUUGCACCUUUGACGGUACCUAACCAGAAAGCCACGGCUAACUACGUGCCCAGCAGCCCGCGGUUAAU